AGGCAGGGCCUGGCCCCCUUGACCUCGCCCUGGCGAGGUGAGACGCCAUCCACGCACCGUGACUUCUGCUUCGGGAGCUAGGCCGCUAUCUUUAAGGCUAGCUGGCUUUUCGGCCACUUCCCGCGCCUUUCUCUUCUCUUCCUCGUCAGUCUUUGUUCUCGGAUGGUCUGGGCAGACCUCGCUACCCCAGGCCGUUAGAUUGUCACUUGCUUUGCAGUUGGGCCGUCUGGCAGCGUGUUCCACGCGAGGGGAGCUGUAGCUGCACUGAGAGGACGCAAAGAGCCUUCCAAAGACCAAAGAUGGAGUGAGUGGUAGUGAGGGUGACCACACGUGUCUGUUUAUCGACGGACAGGAGACGGGCAAUAACUCAUCAGGGUUGCGUUGAAGAUUUCAAGGUGUUGAAAUCAGACGUUUGGCUCUUAAUCCAAUGAGAAUGAAAGAUGACCCGUCUCUAGUGUCAACUCAGGACGAGUCAUUUCUUUCUUCUGGGAUGGGAAUCUUACCCACAGUGGUCUGGAGCAUUCCUUUCAAAGUCAUACGGUGUUUGUUUUGCAAAACGAUGGUCCCUCACAGGUGUGCUCAUUCCGACAGGAUGCUAGCGUCUGGGCCAACAACCCCCGCUGAAAAGAGGAACCGUGUCUAAAAUUCCUGAUCUCGUUGGGCUGUCAUAUGCAGCGAGAUAAAUAGGAGCCUCUUUGGUUAGAGCCAGUCACCUGCUCACCAAUGAAGACUGACGUGGGUGUGCAGCCAUCACAGCUAAGGUCAGUCAUGACUUACCCGGGAUGGUUCCUGAGCACAUAACUCUGAAGAAUGAUGUGGACACGUGAAUAUAAGCUGGACUCUGCCAACAAGCCAACAGCAGAGAGCGCGGGAGAGGAGGGCAGGUGUCAAUAGGACAGGCGCUAGCUGGCUCCCUGUGAUACAUGGCCCUUGGGGAAAGACAAAUGAAGCCUGGCACCGGGCGAGCUGUUCUCUGAGGAUAACUCUGCCCUCCGGGGAGUGUUGCGUGUGCCUUCCAGGGUCAGGCGUUGCAUCAAAAGAGCCCCAUUCCCUAACGACGAUGGCUGCAUCCUCCUGAAACAAGUGGGCUGAGGCUGUAGCAGGAGAGCUGGAAAGUUUGCUCAUCUGAUGUGGAUUUGAAGGCCUCCUCGUUCCCUGAGACAUACGGCUUUGUAAACUAGGCCCUACAAUCUACAGUGGCCUCAAUGUUCAAGUAGAAGAAAGAGUCACAUGUUUCACUUUAAAUCAAAAGCUAGAAGCUUAGCUUGGAAGACAUGUUCAAAAGCUAAAAUAAGCGCAAAGCUAGGCCCCUGGUGACCGUUAGCCAAGUUGUGGAUGCAAAGGAAAAUCCUUGAAGGAAAUUCAAAGUGCUACUCCAGUGAACACGCAAACGAUAAGAAAGAGAAACAGCCUUACUGCCGACACGGAGAAAGGCGCAGCGGUCUGGAGAGAAGAUUAAACCAGCCACAGCCUUUCCGAACGCCAAAGCCUCAUCCAGGGCAAGACCCUAAUUCUCUUCAAUUUUAUGAAAGUUGAUAGUGGUGAGGACGGCGCAGAAGAAAAAUUUGAAACUAACAGAGGUUGUUGCAUGAGGUGUAGGGCAGGAACCGUCUCUAUAACAUAGAAGUGCAAGUUGAAGCCGCAAGUGCUGAUGUAGACGCUGCAGCACGGAACCAGCCACAGUCUUUCACGAAGGUGGCUGCGCUGAACAACAGAUUUUCAGUGUCAACAAAACAGCUAGAGGAUCUUCACAGCUAGAGACGAGAAGUCAGCGCCUGGCCUCCAAGUAUCAAAGGACAGGCUGACUCUCUUGUUGGGAGCUAAUGCAGCUCGUGACUUCAGUUGAAGCCAGUGCUCACUUACUAUUGUGAAAAUCCUAGGGCCCUAAAGAAUUAGGUUGAAUCUACUCUGCCUGUGCUCUGAAAAUGGAACAACAAAGCCCGGAUGACAGCACAUCUGUCUACAACAUGGUUUCUGAAUAUUUUAAGCCCUCUGUUGAGACCUACUUCUUUUCAAGAUAACACUGCACAUUGAUGAUGUGUCUGGGUUCCCAAGGGCUCUGACGGAGGUGUUCACUGAGAUUCGUGUUGUUUUCCUGCUGCUAAUGAAACAUCCACUCUGCAGCCUGUGGCUCCAGCAAUAAUUGUGACUCUCAAGUCUUAUUAUUUAAGAAAUACCCUGUGUGAGGCUAUAGCUGCCAUCGACAGUGAUUCAUCUGAGGGAUCUGGGCAAAGUCCAUUGAAAACCUAGAAAGGAUUUGCUGUUUUAGGGUCCAUCAAAAACAUUGGUGAUUUGUGGGCAGAGGUAAAAAUAUCAACAUUAAGAGGAGUUUGGAAGAAGUUGUUCCCCAACCCUCAUGGAUGACUUCAGCGGGGUGGAAAGAGCAGAAGAACUAGAACUAGAAGUGGAAUCUGAAAGUGUGGCUGAAUUGCUGCAAUGUCAUGAUGGAACUUGAAUGGAUGAGGUUUCCCGCUUCUGCAUGAGCAAAGAAAGUGGUUUCUUAGGAUGGAAAUGCUCCUGGUAAAGAUGCUGCGAAGAUUGUUGACAUGACAACGAAGGAUUUAGAAUACUACGUACACUUAGUUGAUAAACAGUAGCAGAGUUUGAGAGGGUUGACUGCAAUUUUGAAAAGUUCUACUGUGAGUAAAAUGCUACGAAACAGCUUUGCCUGCUGCAGUCAUUUGGGAAAGGAAGAGUGAACCCAUGUCACACAGUUAGUGGUUGUCUUAUUUUGAGAAACUGCCACAGCCGCUCCAGCUUGAACCUGCCACCACCCUGGUUGGCCGACAGCCGUCCACACAGAGGCACUAGGACUCCCUGGAUGUUCGGAUGAGAAUUAGCAUUUUUUUUAGCAGUAAAGCAUAUUUAUAUUAAGGGCAAUUGCAGUAGUGGCAAAGCAGCCCAUCUUCACUAGAGCCUCGAAAGUGACUUGGCUUAUUGCCCUUCUGUUCUUACGUAGACUCAGAGGUUUCAGUCAUCUCUCUCCUCCUAGUCGCUACUCUGUGUCUAAAGAAGAGAAAGAGACCGCAGUGCCAUCAAGAUGGUGACAAUACCCCGCAGUUUAUAUCCCUUCAUUUCCCCACGUGUUUUUCGAGCUAGCCAUUUCCCGGCAUUCUCAAGGCCAGUUGGGCUGGGAACUGAGAGGACGUCAGGUUGGAAAAGAACCAAGUAGAAUUAAAGAUGUACAGUCUAGAUCCUGGAUCCCAACCCAAGAUAACACUACUUAAGGGCACUUCCAGUUUCUCCAAAGGUGGAACUAAAAUUCUCACUCCAAAAUGUAUUUUCGUUUACUUAAAUUAAGACUAGAACUCUAUUUACAAACAAAACCUAUGGAAGGCGAUGGCCACAAAAUUCAGCAAAUCGAAUGUUUUUGGAUUCUUGGAUCAGUAUUCAGGUUUAGAAAAAUCUUUGCAGGCCACUUGUAUGUUCUAACUGCUGACCUACAGAAAUUUGCAGGAUAGCACUUGCACUGGUUAUAAAUACCUCUUUUGAUUGAUUAUAUACACUCACCUACUGUCAAGAAGGGUUUGAGCUGCUAUACAAUAAAAGUAGAAGAAUGAUAUGUCUAAAACACAGUCAACUCAUUGCAAGAUGAAAAGUAUGGGAAACGUGCUUGUAAAAGUGACUCUGGGUUAGGAAUGUGUUUGGGUUAAAACUGAAAGAAAAUGUGACAGUGACUUAAAAAAGAAGUUUGUUUUUCUGAAACCAAAAGAAGCUCUGGAACCCAGGGCAGCCGAAUAAUGCCCCCAGUGACUCAGGCGUCUCCCAUUGAAGUAGAAGCUACAUAGGCCCCAGACUGAGCAGCUCCAAAGGCUCCUUCUGACACUUUGAAAUGGGAUUCCAGGGGGAGCACUGAGCUGAGAUUGGGUGCAGUCUGGUGGGUGUCCAGGCCUGACACACACACAGAGAAGGCUCUCAGUCUGGGGUAUGGACAAAAGGAGGGAGAAGAUGCCAGCUGGAAUCCGUCUGAUCCACCAGGAACAAAUAUGGAGAUGACUGGCCAGGAGAAAAACCUGGAUUACUGCCCCCAGAGAAGCAACCUAAGCUGCCCCUGUGGCGUACAACUCACUCCUAGCCCUCCUGUGUGCCCUUCGCCUGCACUUUGCUGUUAAUAAAUGUUUUGAUCCUUCCC
rnacentral:lncRNA from 1 species